rnacentral:rRNA from 1 species
GACGCUGGCGGCAGGCCUAAUCAUGCAAGUCGAGCGCGCCCUUCGGGGUGAGCGGCGGACGGGUUAGUAACGCGUGGGAACGUGCCCUUCUCUAAGGAAUAGCCACUGGAAACGGUGAGUAAUACCUUAUACGCCCCCCAAUCAAAUUCCAUUUGGUUGACGGAAAUUCUGUUGAAUGCCGGAUGGCAUUUGAUGGGGGGGAAAGAUUUAUCGGAGAAGGAUCGGCCCGCGUUAGAUUAGAUAGUUGGUGGGGUAAUGGCCUACCAAGUCUACGAUCUAUAGCUGGUUUUAGAGGAUGAUCAGCAACACUGGGACUGAGACACGGCCCAGACUCCUACGGGAGGCAGCAGUAGGGAAUCUUGGACAAUGGGCGCAAGCCUGAUCCAGCCAUGCCGCGUGAGUGAAGAAGGCCUUAGGGUCCGUAAAGCUCUUUCGCCUGUGAUGAUAAUGACAGUGCAGGUAAAGAAACCCCGG